rnacentral:rRNA from 1 species
GUGGACGGGGAUAAUCUCGGGAAACUGAGGCUAAUACCCCGAAGGGCUUCCAUCCUGGAGUGGAGGAAGUCCAAAAGUUGCGCUGCGGCACCUCAGGAUGUGGCUGCGGCCGAUUAGGUAGACGGUGGGGUAACGGCCCACCGUGCCAGUAAUCGGUACGGGUGAUGAGAGUCAGAGCCCGGAGACGGUAUAUGAGACAAGAUACCGGGCCCUACGGGGCGCAGUCGGCGCGAAACCUUUACACUGCACGACAGUGCGAUAGGGGGAUUCCGAGUGCGAGGGCAUACAGUCCUCGCUUUUCUGGACCGUAAGGAGGUCCAAGAAUAAGGGUUAGGCAAGACCGGUGCCAGCCGCCGCGGUAAUACCGGCAGCCCGAGUGAUGGCCGAUAUUAUUGGGCUUAAAGCGUCC